rnacentral:lncRNA from 1 species
GCAAAGGCAGGGCCCAUGGGCCAUUAGGACACAUAGUUCUCAGGUGUUUUCAUUUCAUGGCCUGACUUCUUUGAAUUCAGAUUAAAUCCCACUUGACAUGACCCUCUGGGACUCCUCGUGGAAAGUGGAGUCAUGUGAUAUCAGGGAGGCUGCUAAAGCAGUGCCGAGCUUGGGAAUCCCAAGCCAGGAUUUAGAACUUUAAGGGAAGUCACUCAAGGGGGCAUCACAAUGCUGAACUGGGAACCUUUCAACAAUGCUUAAGGGAUAAGUGAUAAGACAGGGGCCUCCAGAAUGAGUGACUAGCCUCCCUUUACAGUCUCACCUGCUCAGCUCUGUGACUCCAAACUGCAGUGUUUUCUCUCUUCAGUGGUAAACAUAUUUGCCUCCCACCUCUCUAGCCCUGGCAAGGUCAUAUGUGUGCUGAUUGACAUCAGUGUUGGGUGUGGGCCCUUUCUAACCCCUGGCCGCAGUCAUUUGUACUGGCCUCUCCCUAUUCUCCUUGUCCACAUGGUGUCCCCACUCAUGGCUGAUACUUUCCCCUUGAAAAAGCCACGUUUUAGAGGCGGGCUUAUUAAAUGCACAGAUGUAUAAUUUCCCUGUAUGAACCACAGCUACUUUUGCCUCCAAGCUAGAUGAGUUAAGUUUCGGCUGUUACAUUUCACUAGGUUUUGCUCAUAGGUUCAAAAAAGCAAUCAGGAGGCAGAGCUAUUUUUUAACUAUCAUAAAAUCUUAGUUCUGGAAGGAGUCUUGAAGAUCAAUGCAGGUCAACCCUGAUAUCUCCCACAGGAGGAACGUGAGGCCCAGAGAUCCUUCUUGAGUUACCCAACGUCCUGCAGCCCGCAAUAGAGAAGCAGACUAGAGGCAACAUUACCGGAAUCUCUCUCUCCCAUCCCCCAUCCCAGACCCAGAUCCUUCUACUGCAGACACCUGCUGUUCUUUUAUUGAUGGCAUGGCUAGUGCUCAGUCAUCUGGUCACCACAACUCUACUGAGCCCCUCCCCUGGGUGCUGGACUGGCUCUAACACUGUGCGAACAGACAGAGGAAGGCUCAUGCUUGUGGAGCCAACGUUCUAAGUUGGGGAAGAGUCAAUGUAUGAAUUUUAAAAACAGUAAAACAAGAUCAUUUCAGAGAACGGAAGACAACAGCAAGCACGGGCCACCUGUGACCACGUGGACCCUAGGACCCAAGAGCAUGGCCCUGGAGCUGCCUGGCCCUACUGGCCUAGACUGGGCCUCGGCCACGCGCUCCUCACCUUCACAGUGGCAUUGCAGUACCGGGCACAGCCGCUCUUCAGGCUCCCAAACCUGCCACUGUAGACACAUCUGUGUGUGAAGAGUGCCUGGAGAAAGCCAAGGAGGGAAAGCAUGGCAGUCAGCAUGUUUAGGUCCUCCAGGCACUGCACACCCUCUGCAGACACUUGCCAUUGUACUUCCAUUUCACCACUGACGUCAGGAGAGAGUGCUGGACCACACUAGCAGACCUGGGUCUACAUCAGAGCUUGGACACCCUUUUUUAGGCCUGUUCCCUUGUUGGUGGAAUACAGGCCAGAGUUUGCAUCAUCCAUGGCCCACAGAUCUUUAUUCCCUCUUCCAUGCCACAGCAGAUGUCUCUAAGCAGAAAAUAUUUUCUGUUCAUUCUGGAUACGGUCUAGUCUCCCCUUCCGAUCUAUAGCCAUCCCUAAGAUCUCCUACAGAGACAUUUUGGAGCCCCCAAAGGGUCUAUCUACACUUCAUUGAAAGGUUUGCCAAACAAAAUUGUGAUAGUCUGAGUUUUUCUCUUAGGAGUGGGGCAGAUUUAUAUGCAUCCUUCCAUUCUAACCAACAAUGCCCACUCAUAAUUAUCUAGAACUCAUGUUUACUGAGAACAUUUUAUGGGCCAGACACAUUGCACAGAUGAGUUCAUCAAUCUUCAAUUCUAUGUGGAUGUUUCUCAUGCCAUUUUUUAUAGAUAAGGAAACAGGCCCAGACAGGUUAAAUCAUUUUUUCCAAGAAACACUGAUAGUAAGUAUAAGGUCUAGAGAAUGGGUCUUAUCACGUACAGACUUUAGGAUCACAGUCAUGUAGCCUCUGUGGGCCUCAGCUGCCUAAUUUAUAAAAUAUCAAGAAAAUAUUGAUGAGACAAUAAUGCUGAUUUCAAGUUUUGUCACGAGAAUUUAGUCUCUGGUUCAAAUUUUGUUUUAGAUAAUUGUUGAUGUCAAGCUUAUCCCUUCAUCUUAGGCUGUUGCUCAAGAAGAGGGCAAUGAGACUUUCCUAGGCUAUAAAAUCCUAAAAUAUUAGCUAUAUGAAGGAAUUCUGAGGUCACUGAGGAAGGAGCACUACAGUCCUUUUGGGAAUCUCAGGAUAAUUAACCAGGUGUGGGUCACAGGAUUCCCGGGAUGGGUGAUUUGAGGGCUUCUUUUGGCUCCUACCCAUGUGUCUAAUUUCCCUUUCUUUUCCCUCUUCCUUCUCUUUCCCUGGGCUGAGACAAUCAUAGAAUGGUGAUUAAACAUGUAGAACAAAUCAUGGUUCUGCCACAUCAGCUGUGUGACCUUGUACAAGGUGGUUUACGUUUCCUUGCCUUAGUGCCCUAAUCAUACAUUGGUUAUGGUGAUAAUAUACCCACCUCGUGGGGCUGCUGCAUAAAGCAUUUAGAACAAUGUCUGGCACACAGCAAUCACUGUGACACCAGCCAACACAAUUUCCUCUUCUCCUCCCUCUCACAUUCCCUGCUUGACAGCAUCCUGAAGGACUCAGGGGUAAUGCCUUUGUUAAGCAAAAUAAAUAUCUGAACACCUGCA